UAGAGUUUGAUCCUGGCUCAGAUUGAACGCUGGCGGCAUGCUUUACACAUGCAAGUCGAACGGCAGCGCGGGCUUCGGCCUGGCGGCGAGUGGCGAACGGGUGAGUAAUAUAUCGGAACGUACCCAAGAGUGGGGGAUAACGUAGCGAAAGUUACGCUAAUACCGCAUACGAUCCAAGGAUGAAAGCAGGGGACCGCAAGGCCUUGUGCUCCUGGAGCGGCCGAUAUCUGAUUAGCUAGUUGGUGAGGUAAAGGCUCACCAAGGCAACGAUCAGUAGCUGGUCUGAGAGGACGACCAGCCACACUGGAACUGAGACACGGUCCAGACUCCUACGGGAGGCAGCAGUGGGGAAUUUUGGACAAUGGGGGCAACCCUGAUCCAGCAAUGCCGCGUGAGUGAAGAAGGCCUUCGGGUUGUAAAGCUCUUUUGUCAGGGAAGAAAAGGGAGUGGCUAAUAUCCAUUCCUGCUGACGGUACCUGAAGAAUAAGCACCGGCUAACUACGUGCCAGCAGCCGCGGUAAUACGUAGGGUGCAAGCGUUAAUCGGAAUUACUGGGCGUAAAGCGUGCGCAGGCGGUUUCGUAAGUCUGUCGUGAAAGCCCCGGGCUUAACCUGGGAAUUGCGAUGGAGACUGCAAGGCUUGAAUCUGGCAGAGGGGGGUAGAAUUCCACGUGUAGCAGUGAAAUGCGUAGAGAUGUGGAGGAACACCGAUGGCGAAGGCAGCCCCCUGGGUCAAGAUUGACGCUCAUG
rnacentral:rRNA from 1 species